rnacentral:rRNA from 1 species
UACGUAGGGUGCAAGCGUUGUCCGGAAUUAUUGGGCGUAAAGAGCGUGUAGGCGGCUUGACAGGUCUGCUGUGAAAAACUCGAGGCUCAACCUCGAGAUGUCGGCGGAAACCGUCUGGCUAGAGUCCGGAAGAGGAGAGUGGAAUUCCUGGUGUAGCGGUGAAAUGCGCAGAUAUCAGGAGGAACACCGAUGGCGAAGGCAGGUCUCUGGGCAUUAACUGACGCUGAGGAGCGAAAGCAUGGGGAGCGAACAGG